rnacentral:misc_RNA from 1 species
GGGUAUUGGUUUUACAUGUACUGGGCUUACUCCAACAGUCCAACCCUCUGUUUCCCUCUUGGUUGUAUAAGUAAUGAUUUGUUGAGUAGGGGAGGGAGGUGAAAAUGAUGUUCCUCAAAUGGUGGGUUAGGAGAGAUAAAAUUGUAGUUGUUUUUUACCGCUGGAGACUUUACUGCAGACUAGCAUCGUACACCUUCAGAAGAGUACUUUGGACUUCUUGUUUGUGUAAAUGAUUAUGACUUUUAUCUUAUUCUUGCAGUCACUGCUGUGUGAUCCAAACCCUAAUUCUCCUGCAAACUCAGAAGCUGCUCGGUUGUUUAGUGAAAAUAAGAGGGAGUACAACCGGAGAGUUAGAGAAAUUGUGGAGCAGAGCUGGACUGCAGACUGAUACCACAUAUAUAGAGGUUAUUGCAACCUCAAUCAUGAGCUUUCGGGGCUCAUCUGUGUAAUAGUUCCAGACACCUAAGUCCGGAAUUGUAAUUUUAGUGGUGCACACUCAUGCUGAUCCCAGCAUAGUUUCUCUAUGCUACUCCCCCUCAAUUGUUGUUCACCGCUUGUCAAGCUCCUGUAGAUUAUGUCUUCUGGUAUUUUGGAUUUGUUUAGAUUAUGCUAUUUGCUUUUCCAACAAAGAUGGUUUUCAGAUACUUCCAUUAACUCCCAAGUUUGGAUUUAACUUGUAAGCCUCGCAAACCUAAUGUAUA